GAUGAACGCUGGCGGCGUGCCUAAUACAUGCAAGUCGAGCGAACGGACGAGAAGCUUGCUUUUCUGAUGUUAGCGGCGGACGGGUGAGUAACACGUGGAUAACCUACCUAUAAGACUGGGAUAACUUCGGGAAACCGGAGCUAAUACCGGAUAAUAUUUUGAACCGCAUGGUUCAAAAGUGAAAGACGGUCUUGCUGUCACUUAUAGAUGGAUCCGCGCUGCAUUAGCUAGUUGGUAAGGUAACGGCUUACCAAGGCAACGAUGCCUAGCCGACCUGAGAGGGGGAUAGGCGACACGGGAACGGAGCCACGGUCCAGACUCCUACGGGAGGCAGCAGUAGGGAAUCUUACGCAAAGGGCGGAAGCCUGACGGAGCAACGCCGAGUGAGUGAUGAAGGUCUUCGGAUCGUAAAACUCUGUUAUUAGGGAAGAACAUAUGUGUAAGUAACUGUGCACAUCUUGACGGUAACUAAUCAGAAAGCAACGGCUAACUACGUG
rnacentral:rRNA from 1 species